rnacentral:misc_RNA from 1 species
UUAUCAGGUAAAGUGCUUCCCCUAGUACUUCAUUAGCUUUCUCCUUUCCUAGAUAGCCUCUGAGCUUCUUCUGGUAUUCUUUGUAGAACUCCAAUUCCUUCCAAAGAGGUAUUACUGACUGCAAGUCCAAUGAGAAAGAAUAAAAUAAGCCCAUGCUGGAGCACUCAUAAUUCCCUGAAUUUUUUUUUACUAGAAAUGUAUUAAUUCCGCAAAAACAUCUAGAAAUUCAUUCAAAAUGUGCUUUUCAUAUGCUUUGGUGAAUAAAAAGUUCUGCUUAUUUCUAGUAUCACUGCGUGAGCACAACUUACUAGUACAUCAGAAGUAGCAUUGUCAUAACCUGUUCCUGCAGAAGCAAAGCAAACUCCUGUGGCAAAAUCUUUUAUAUCACAUGUUGGAUCUAAGUAUGCAGGUACUAUUGGCUUGUUCCCAAAGGCUUCAGAAAUGAAGUCUGUCGGAAUCCGACCAUUGGAAAACCUUCCCGUGGGCUUGCCACCAUAGAAAUCCCGACCGUAAGGUGCAAAGUUACUCUUUAGUGAUGUAGAUACAUGGUUGUUGUUGCCUGAGUCAACCGAAGAGUCUCCGAACACAAUGAUGGCUGGAACUUUUGCAUUUACAGUAAGGAUUUGCAGUAGCAGAUGAGCAAACCGGAACCAAAACAUGGCCUCACUUGUCAUAGUUGGUUUGCCUCGACUCAAGUUGUGUAUGUAUUAUCAGUAGCCUAGAGGUGGUUGGUGAAGCAGGUAGAAGGAUGAUUGCUUGUGAAUCUAGAGAAGGGGGAGAUUUCAGGUAAUAAAAGUCCAAGUACCUGAAGAUUGUUGAGAGUUUUAAUUGCUUCAGUAGGUGGGUGCCUAUAUUAUGUAUUGAUUGUCAUUCACUUCUGAUUAUAUCAACAUUGCUCAUAAAGAUGUACACAAAAGUUUCUUCUCAAAUUAAUGGUCCCUGACUCCCUGUCCUGUGUGGGUCAAUGCCACAGAGACCACAUUGUAGUUCCAACAUAAAUGGCCUAACUUUCAUUAGAAAGGAGAGAUGAA